UAUAAUUAAUACACAGCUUGAAUAGCAAGACUGUGUUCAGUUUUAACUCUUUCUUCCAUUUUGUAUUUUUGGUUAAGAAUAAGAAGCAUAAGAAACAUAAGAAAACAUUUCUGGAAUCUGCUUCUGAAAUAGCAUUUAGAUGUAUUUACACAGUUUAUGUGUCUCUGAGGGGACAUGGAUGCAUUUAAACUGCAGUUACAGAAGCAUAAAUAUGCCUGAAGGGUUUUUUUUUUGUUGUUGUUGUUGUUUUUACAUAAAAACACUGAAGACAGUGCAUCCUUGUGGUGCGGUUGACACAGAAGAGCGUAUGCAGUUUGCAUUCAGCAGGUGUUUUCCAAAAUGGGGCAACAGUGAUGUGGGGAGAGACAGAGACAAAUCGUUGAAUAAAGUCAUUAUUUUAGUUUUCUUCUCAUACAAAAAGUAUUCUCGUCACUUCAUAACAUGGGACAGUCACAAGCCUCCCAGUUUUCAUCCAAAAUAUCUUAAAUUGUGUUCUGAAGACAAACAAAACUUUUAUGGGUUUGGAAUGACAUGGGUGUAAGUGAUUAAUGACAAAAAUUUCAUUUUGGGGUGGAGUAUCCAGUGUCAGAAAAAAUAGGGCAACAAAAGGAAAUGUAUUUGAAGCAGCCAGAGAAUAAGUUCAAUCAGUGGAAAGAAGAGCGAUAAAGGGUUCCUAAAAAUCAGCUUUUAAUGUUGUGAGUUUUACUCAACGGUCUCUUGUCCAUGUUACCCACAAAUGCAUGAUGCAACCAAGUGGUUAAAAUGAAAAAAAGUGCUGUGUCAGCUUUACUUGGUAAAUAUUUGUUCAGUCAAUUGUAACUGAAAUGCACAAACUGAAAUAUGCAAUGCAGGGUAUUUCCCUUUGUGCAGAUCAUAGCUGAGAUGAGGAAAUAAAGGGCAAGCAACAAAGUUGCAAACAAAGCAUUAUUUUUUAUUUUUUUCUCAUGGUGCCAAAUGACAUACUUGAGUAAACCAUGUUAAAUGAACUGUAUCAGCCAGAUGAGUAUAUUGUUCCCCUUCAGGAACUUGAGCUGCAUCGAAACAUUUUGGGAACACCUCCAGCAUGACCACGCUCUGAAUCACGUGUGUAAUCAGUACAAUGGAUGGGCGAGAUGUCACAGGCGGGGUGACGUAGAGUCCAGGCAGCUUAAAAGCACAUGCAAUGGAUACAUCGGCAGCUUCUGUCAUUCACUCCGCCCCCCCUUCAGCUCCACCGUGGCCUUCUGGGUCCCUGCCUCUGCCUCUGCCCCGUUAGCCAUCAGCACAACCAUGGCCCUUCAAGGCCUGCUGUCUUACCCUGGCUCCAUGUCUCCUUGGCUCCAUCUGGGUCUCCACCUUGGUCAGCUCCUUCGCAGGAGACUCCAUCUCUGCACAAAAAAAAAAAUGUUUUUCAAGCAGUACUUUAUCCUAUUAAUAAUUUGUCUUUUAAUUUACCAUUAUUUGGUUUAUUUUUCAAGUAAGUUUUUUUUUUUUUUUUUUAGUUCAAAACGUUGAUACUUUUGAUGCUGUUUGUUGUGAUUCUGAGAUAAACUGUUUUAUGUUAGUUUGUUCAACUAGUUUUGUCAUGUUUAAUGAAAAAUCAUGUUUUGUUGUAUUUUUAAACAUUUGGAAUUGAAUUAAAAUAAAACAGAAAAUUGCAUGAAUGUUCCUUUAUUUGUUUGCUUUUUUUUCUUAAUUUGCUAGUUUAACAAAUUGGAAAAAUAAAACAACUGAUAUAGAUUUAACUUGUAUAUUACACUGAAAAAUUUUUCAUUCAUCCAAUUAAAAAAAAUUAGGGUAAUGAUUUCACAUUGAUAUUUUUUUAACUUGAGCAAAAGAAAAAUAAAUAACUUGCCCCAAACAAUAUUUUCUAUGUCUAUGAAAAACUAUAUAUAAAAAAAAAUGAAUGAAUGAAUUUAAAUGAAUUGACUUUCUUCAACAAGAA
ensembl:lncRNA